UACGUAGGGUGCGAGCGUUAAUCGGAAUUACUGGGCGUAAAGGGCGCGUAGGCGGGUGCUCAAGUCCGGGGUGAAAUCCCACAGCUCAACUGUGGAACUGCCUCGGAUACUGGGUGCCUCGAGGGUGGUAGGGGUAUGCGGAACUAUCGGUGGAGCGGUGAAAUGCGUUGAUAUCGAUAGGAACUCCGGUGGCGAAGGCGGCAUACUGGACCACAUCUGACGCUGAGGCGCGAAAGCCAGGGGAGCAAACGGG
rnacentral:rRNA from 1 species